ACGAACGCUGGCGGCGUGCUUAACCCAUGCAAGUCGAACGGAAAGGCCCUGCUUUUGUGGGGUGCUCGAGUGGCGAACGGGUGAGUAACACGUGAGUAACCUGCCCUUGACUUUGGGAUAACUUCAGGAAACUGGGGCUAAUACCGGAUAGGAGCUCCUGCUGCAUGGUGGGGGUUGGAAAGUUUCGGCGGUUGGGGAUGGACUCGCGGCUUAUCAGCUUGUUGGUGGGGUAGUGGCUUACCAAGGCUUUGACGGGUAGCCGGCCUGAGAGGGUGACCGGCAACAUUGGGACUGAGAUACGGCCCAGACUCCUACGGGAGGCAGCAGGGGGGAAUAUUGCACAAGGGGCGGAAGCCGGAUGCAGCAACGCCGCGUGCGGGAUGACGGCCUUCGGGUUGUAAACCGCUUUCGCCUGUGACGAAGCGUGAGUGACGGUAAUGGGUAAAGAAGCACCGGCUAACUACGU
rnacentral:rRNA from 1 species